AUUGAACGCUGGCGGCAGGCCUAACACAUGCAAGUCGAGCGAGCGGCGGACGGGUGAGUAAUGUAUGGGGACUGCCCGAUAGAGGGGGAAAACUACUGGAAACGGUGGCUAAUACCGCAUAAUAUCGGUUAAGCCAGAGUGGAUUAGCUAGUAGGUGGGGUAAAGGCGCACCUAGGCGACGAUCUCUAGCUGGUCUGAGAGGAUGAUCAGCCACACUGGGACUGAGACACGGCCCAGACUCCUACGGAGUCAGCAGUGGGGAAUAUUGCACAAUGGGCGCAAGCCUGAUACAGCCAUGCCGCGUGUAUGAAGAAGGCCUUAGGGUUGUAAAGUACUUUCAGCAGGGAGGCGUUACCCGCAGAAGAAGCACCGGCUAACUCCGUGCCAGCAGCCGCGGUAAUUC
rnacentral:rRNA from 1 species